GUCGAACGAUUAACCCACCUUCGGGUGGUCAUAGAGUGGCGAACGGGUGAGUAACACGUGACCAACCUGCCUCAUGCAUCGGGAUAACUGCUGGAAACGGCAGCUAAUACCGGAUACUCUUGCAACUUCGCAUGGAGAUGCAAGGAAAGCUUUUGCGGCAUGAGAUGGGGUCGCGGCCCAUUAGGUAGACGGUGAGGUAGUGGCUCACCGUGCCUGCGAUGGGUAGCCGGACUGAGAGGUCGAUCGGCCACAUUGGGACUGAGAUACGGCCCAGACUCCUACGGGAGGCAGCAGUGGGGAAUAUUGCGCAAUGGGGGAAACCCUGACGCAGCAACGCCGCGUGCGGGAUGAAGGCUUUCGGGUUGUAAACCGCUUUCAGCAGGGAAGAUAAUGACGGUACCUGCAGAAGAAGCCCCGGCUAACUACGUGCCAGCAGCCGCGGUAAUACGUAGGGGGCAAGCGUUAUCCGGAUUCAUUGGGCGUAAAGCGCGCGCAGGCGGGCCGCUAAGCGGGACCUCUAAUCUUGGGGCUCAACCUUAAGCCGGGUCCCGAACUGGCAGCCUCGAGUGCGGUAGGGGUAAGCGGAAUUCCCGGUGUAGCGGUGGAAUGCGC
rnacentral:rRNA from 1 species